ACAUUGGUUUGGCUCAGUGGUUUUUUCUACCGGUGAUUUGUCACAUCUGACGGUCAGCGGUUCGAAACAGUUUGACUACAGGGACUGCCCGAUGUUUUU
rnacentral:vault_RNA from 12 species